rnacentral:rRNA from 1 species
UGAGGAAUAUUGCGCAAUGGGGGCAACCCUGACGCAGCAACGCCGCGUGAGUGAGGAAGGUUUUCGGACCGUAAAGCUCUGUCGAGCGGGAAGAAAUGCAUGGUGGCUAAUAUCCAUCAUGCUUGACGGUACCACUAAAGGAAGCACCGGCUAACUCCGUGCCAGCAGCCGCGGUAAUACGGAGGGUGCGAGCGUUGUUCGGAAUUAUUGGGCGUAAAGAGCGUGUAGGCGGCCGAAUAAGUCAGAUGUGAAAUCCCUGGGCUUAACCCAGGACGUGCAUUUGAAACUAUUCGGCUGGAGUAGGGGAGAGGAAAGUGGAAUUCCCGGUGUAGAGGUGAAAUUCGUAGAUAUCAGGAGGAACACCGGUGGCGAAGGCGACUUUCUGGCCCUAUACUGACGCUGAGACGCGAGAGCGUGGGUAGCAAACAG